GGAGNAUACACGGAUAAUAUUUCGAACCGCAUGGUUCGAUAGUGAAAGAUGGUUUUGCUAUCACUUAUAGAUGGACCCGCGCCGUAUUAGCUAGUUGGUAAGGUAACGGCUUACCAAGGCGACGAUACGUAGCCGACCUGAGAGGGUGAUCGGCCACACUGGAACUGAGACACGGUCCAGACUCCUACGGGAGGCAGCAGAG
rnacentral:rRNA from 1 species